rnacentral:rRNA from 1 species
UACAGGGGGGGCAAGCGUUGUUCGGAAUUACUGGGCGUAAAGGGCUCGUAGGCGGCCAACUAAGUCCGACGUGAAAUCCCAAAGCUUAACUUUGGAACUGCGUCGGAUACUGGAUGGCUUGAAUUCGGGAGAGGGAUGCAGAAUUCCAGGUGUAGCGGUGAAAUGCGUAGAUAUCAGGAAGAACACCCGUGGCGAAGGCGGCUCUCUGGGACGGUACUGACGCUGAGACGCGAAAGCGUGGGGAGCGAACAGG